CCUACGGGAGGCAGCAGUGGGGAAUCUUGCGCAAUGGGCGAAAGCCUGACGCAGCAACGCCGCGUGCGGGAUGACGGCCUUCGGGUUGUAAACCGCUUUCAGUGGGGACGAACCAAGACGGUACCCACAGAAGAAGCCCCGGCCAACUACGUGCCAGCAGCCGCGGUAACACGUAGGGGGCGAGCGUUGUCCGGAUUUAUUGGGCGUAAAGAGCUCGUAGGCGGUUCGAUAAGUCGGGUGUGAAACCUCCAGGCUCAACCUGGAGACGCCACCCGAUACUGUCGUGACUAGAGUCCAGUAGGGGAGCGUGGAAUUCCUGGUGUAGCGGUGAAAUGCGCAGAUAUCAGGAGGAACACCAGUGGCGAAGGCGGCGCUCUGGGCUGGAACUGACGCUGAGGAGCGAAAGCGUGGGGAGCGAACAGGAUUAGAUACCCUGGUAGUCCACGCCGUAAACGUUGGGUACUAGGUGUGGGGUCUUAUCAACGGAUUCCGUGCCGCAGCUACGACAUAAGUACCCGUCCCGUCGGGAGGUACGGCCGGCCGACGGACGUAAACUUAAACUUAGAAUUAGUACGGCGUGAGACGUGCCGACGGACGACGACGAGGGAGGUAGG
rnacentral:rRNA from 1 species